GAGGCGAGGAAAGGUCUGUUGACAGUGCAGCCCAUUGGUUAAAGUCAAGGAGAAGCCCUGAUAGAGCUUAAGCUCGGGACGGGCACAGAAGCCAAUGAAUGGUAAAAGAGAGAGAGAGAGAGAGAGUGCUGGGAUUUUUUUUUUUUUUUGGCGUUGUUAUUUUUUCCCCAAAAAAUGCCAGGGCGAGGGAGGGAGGGCUACCCAGGAGCAACUUUCAGUAAGGGCGACUGAAGGCGGUGGGUGCUUUAAGGCACAUGCGCAGUGCGCCUCCUUAGUCCUGGCCACCGUCAACCCCCCCUGGCGUACAACGACGAAGCAAACAGGAAUGCCAUUUUUAAUUAGCAAUUACGGGUGGCUUCUAUUUGUUUGGCAUCGGGAGGUUCUCCUUCGGCUUGCUGUUGAUUUCUCCUCCCACCCCCUCAGGUUCACCUUGCCGACAUCUGGCUUAUGGUGGCUUUGCUCGAAGCGUUGUUUUUUGUUUUUGUUUUUUGGGGGAAAGGAAAACGCGGAUUUAUUUCUAGAAGUUGGUCCUCCCACAUUUUUAGAGUGUGCCUCUCUUACUGGGUCCGCCUCACUUCACCUGCCUACCUUCGGCUCGCACCCCCCCCCCUUUCUCUCCCCCGCCCAUCGCUCUCUUUGUGUGAAAAAUGCUGUUCGGUGUAACAAUGUACCUUGUGCUUCCACGGGCUUUGAUAAUCGCCUGCUGUGAUGAUUUGCUUACGAAAUGUUUAUGAAAUGUCCCUGUGAUAUAAGCCUGCUCUGUUUUGAUUGUUCCCAAUAACGUUCCAGUAGUCAUGGCUGGAUGGUUUGCAACCGUUUGAAAGCAGCUCACUUCAGGAAUCUUGACUUGGUUUCUUGGCUUUCUAAUUCUGAUUAAGAGGUGGCCCUUUAGCAAAGAAUUGUGACAGGCUCUAUCAAAAACCGUGCACUGUCUGAAUUAAAGCUGUUGAAAAUACUAUCACCCCUAUUUUUCUUUUGCUUGACUGGCUAUGUUUCCUCAAACCCUUUUAAUGUUGCUACUCCUCCUUUGAUUAUUUUUACAGACAGACAGACAGACAGACACUAUUUUAAUACAUAUAUUUUUAUAUGUUAUGAGGUUUUUAAAUAUUUGUAAGACUCCGAAGUAUCUUCUGUGCUUUUUAAUUGACUGUACCCCAUGCUUAUGCUGAUCUAUGACAGUAAUAAACAUUUGAUUUAAUUUGACCAUGAUGUGAUAUGGUCCAAAUUAUAUAUUUCCAUAUAUAACAAAGAGAUCCGAAUCAUAGGAUAAGAAAACGGCGAGGACCUAAGAUAAAAAAGGUGGGGGAGGGGAAACAAUGACUAAGGUCCCCAUUCUAGAGUUUUAUUACCAAACAGCUCCCCCUUCUCCUUAUGAAUACAAUAGGUGGAAAUGCAAGCCUUGGGGAAUGGCACCCUCCUGUUCGUCGGGGGGGGGGAUCUUUAGAGCCUUCAGUCUAACUCCUUAAUGAAAUAUUUAGCGUGUUCUGCAACCCCAGUUUAUAAAGGCCUGCCUGUGCCCCCCAUCCCCUCCCCCGGGUGGAAGUUGACUCCGAGCAGCCUGCGCGAGUCUUUGCGCGCGGGGGGGGGGUUCCCCCAGGAGACAAGGGGCUCCGACUGGAUCGUGCCGCGCCCGCCACAGAAACCGACCAAGGUGGCAAACGCCAAGUGCCUCUUUCUCUCCACCCCCACCCCAUGGGUUGGCAUUAAGAACUAAUCGAAUCCCAAGACGUCCGGUGUUUGCCAGCCAUCUUAUCCGUAGAGACAACAACAAUCGAAGCCAGCGGAUCGCCACCACGGCCACGACCAUCGUCACCACAUCCGCUUCUAGGUCCAAGGAAGAAAAGCCAGCAACGAAAUAUGCCCAGGGUAGGAGAGCACCUUCUGAAAAGGCAUUCCAUGGCUUACCUUCCCUGGAUCCUUGGCCUAAAUAAAAGAGGAUUGGGAUUAUAAAGAGUUCUUGUCACUUUGAAGACUGCCCAGGGGACUGAACUUCAGGACUGACCUCCAGUAUAGGAGAAAUGGGGAUGAAGAUGUUGACUAUCUUUCAUAUGAUACGUUCUAAUUAUUAUACUAGGAAACGAAGCAGAAGUUUCCAGAUCCAAUAUCAGUCCACCCAUUUGAAAUUCAUAUUUCUAUGCAGUGGUUAAUGUGCUCACUUCCGUACAUUUGGCUGCCAAAACCAGAGGAUUUUGUGAAAGCUGAUGUCAUCUUCUGCCCAAUGGACAGAAUCUCAGUUGCAUUUGAGCAAUAAAGUGUUCCAUUUCUUUCCCUCUCUCUCUCCUGCCUCUUCCUCUCUCCCCCACUUGUUAUUCCAUUGUUCCUUGGGUUAUGUUGUUGUUAUGGCAACAGCUAAGAUAAUAAACUUGUAAUAAACUUGGCAUCAAAUUUA